AUGAUACCUAACCCUGGAGUUCACAAUACUUUGUUUAUCCAGAGAGCAGGUACAACACAAGUAGUAAAAGUGCAAGCUUCCUCAAAUUCCUUAUCAAAGAGCCUUUACCCCCCUCUGCAGAACCAUUCUUUGAUUUGAAAAGGUAAAUCAAUCUCUAUGCCAUUCAGUCCUUUGGCUCCU
rnacentral:sRNA from 1 species